rnacentral:tRNA from 1 species
AUCUCUUGAGUAUGACUAGUACAUUUGCCUUCCAAGCAAAAAGUUUAAAUUGAUUUAAAAGAGAUA